CUAGCCCAUUUAAGACUUGUUUUUUUCUGAGGAUAGCCUGUUUCUCCUAUAUUGGAAGAUAUUUCACAUUUUUGGUAGACUUGUUUACCAACCGCCAUGAAUUUCAAAUUUUAGGCCAAAACAGCUGAACGUCAAAAUAAUUUCUAAUUGAACUGUAUUUCCAGUUCGGACACUUUGGCUUGAAAGUUGACACACUUUGAUUUCACACUUUAGUGAAUAACCCUGUUAAGUGCGGCUUACAGUCUAGACUUCAAAUCAAUUUUGACCUGCCACGAGCCUCAAACUUUUGCUUAAUGAAGUGCUUUAUGCACUGUGUGGGUAGGGCUACAUAAACAAAGCCACCUCAAUGGUGGUUUAAACACUAUACAUACAUGAUAGGAAGAGCUGAGACAGGAUCUGCAACAGAGCACACCUGAUAUCAGUCCUAUUAUCCUGGCAGCGAUGACUGAAUUGAAAUAAUUGGCAUAGAGUGCC